rnacentral:rRNA from 1 species
GGAUUCGUCCAAGUGAAGCAGAGGACAGUGGCGGACGGGUGAGUAACGCGUGAGGAACCUGCCUUUCAGAGGGGGACAACAGUUGGAAACGACUGCUAAUACCGCAUGAUACGUUUUGGGGGCAUCCCUGAGACGUCAAAGAUUUAUCGCUGAAAGAUGGCCUCGCGUCUGAUUAGCUAGUUGGUGAGGUAAUGGCCCACCAAGGCGACGAUCAGUAGCCGGACUGAGAGGUUGACCGGCCACAUUGGGACUGAGAUACGGCCCAGACUCCUACGGGAGGCAGCAGUGGGGAAUAUUGGGCAAUGGGCGCAAGCCUGACCCAGCAACGCCGCGUGAAGGAAGAAGGCUUUCGGGUUGUAAACUUCUUUUAAGAGGGAAGAGCAGAAGACUGUACCUCUAGAAUAAGCCACGGCUAACUACGUGCCAGCAGCCGCGGUAAUACGUAGGUGGCAAGCGUUGUCCGGAUUUACUGGGUGUAAAGGGCGUGCAGCCGGGAAUGCAAGUCAGAUGUGAAAUCCAUGGGCUUAACCCAUGAACUGCAUUUGAAACUGUAUUUCUUGAGUACUGGAGAGGCAAUCGGAAUUCCUAGUGUAGCGGUGAAAUGCGUAGAUAUUAGGAGGAACACCAGUGGCGAAGGCGGAUUGCUGGACAGCAACUGACGGUGAGGCGCGAAAGUGUGGGGAGCAAACAGGAUUAGAUACCCUGGUAGUCCACACUGUAAACGAUGAAUACUAGGUGUGCGGGGACUGACCCCCUGCGUGCCGCAGUUAACACAAUAAGUAUUCCACCUGGGGAGUACGAUCGC